GCCUGGGUGGCUCAGUCGGUUGAGCGUCCGACUUCGGCUCAGGUCAUGAUCUCGCGGUCCGUGGGUUCGAACCCUGCGUCGGGCU
rnacentral:tRNA from 1 species